UACGAAGGGGGCGAGCGUUGUUCGGAUUUACUGGGCGUAAAGGGCGCGCAGGCGGUCUUGAAAGUCAGGCGUGAAAGCCCCGGGCUUAACCUGGGAAUUGCGCUUGAUACUCUGAGACUGGAGUACGGGAGAGGAGAGUGGAAUUCCCAGUGUAGAGGUGAAAUUCGUAGAUAUUCGGAAGAACACCAGUGGCGAAGGCGACUCACUGGACACAUAUUGACGCUGAGGUGCGAAAGCGUGGGGAGCAAACAGG
rnacentral:rRNA from 1 species